GACGAACGCUGGCGGCGUGCUUAACACAUGCAAGUCGAACGGAAAGGCCCUGCUUUUGCGGGGUGCUCGAGUGGCGAACGGGUGAGUAACACGUGAGUAACCUGCCCUUGACUUUGGGAUAACUUCAGGAAACUGGGGCUAAUACCGGAUAGGAGCUCCUGCUGCGUGGUGGGGGUUGGAAAGUUUCGGCGGUUGGGGAUGGACUCGCGGCUUAUCAGCUUGUUGGUGGGGUAGUGGCUUACCAAGGCUUUGACGGGUAGCCGGCCUGAGAGGGUGACCGGCCACAUUGGGACUGAGAUACGGCCCAGACUCCUACGGGAGGCAGCAGUGGGGAAUAUUGCACAAUGGGCGGAAGCCUGAUGCAGCAACGCCGCGUGCGGGAUGACGGCCUUCGGGUUGUAAACCGCUUUCGCCUGUGACGAAGCGUGAGUGACGGUAAUGGGUAAAGAAGCACCGGCUAACUACGUGCCAGCAGCCGCGGUGAUACGUAGGGUGCGAGCGUUGUCCGGAUUUAUUGGGCGUAAAGGGCUCGUAGGUGGUUGAUCGCGUCGGAAGUGUAAUCUUGGGGCUUAACCCUGAGCGUGCUUUCGAUACGGGUUGACUUGAGGAAGGUAGGGGAGAAUGGAAUUCCUGGUGGAGCGGUGGAAUGCGCAGAUAUCAGGAGGAACACCAGUGGCGAAGGCGGUUCUCUGGGCCUUUCCUGACGCUGAGGAGCGAAAGCGUGGGGAGCGAACAGGCUUAGAUACCCUGGUAGUCCACGCUGUAAACGGUGGGUACUAGGUGUGGGGUCCAUUCCACGGGUUCCGUGCCGUAGCUAACGCUUUAAGUACCCCGCCUGGGGAGUACGGCCGCAAGGCUAAAACUCAAAGGAAUUGACGGGGCCCCGCACAAGCGGCGGAGCAUGCGGAUUAAUUCGAUGCAACGCGUAGAACCUUACCUGGGUUUGACAUGGAUCGGGAGCGCUCAGAGAUGGGUGUGCCUCUUUUGGGGUCGGUUCACAGGUGGUGCAUGGCUGUCGUCAGCUCGUGUCGUGAGAUGUUGGGUUAAGUCCCGCAACGAGCGCAACCCUUGUUCACUGUUGCCAGCACGUUAUGGUGGGGACUCAGUGGAGACCGCCGGGGUCAACUCGGAGGAAGGUGGGGAUGACGUCAAGUCAUCAUGCCCCUUAUGUCCAGGGCUUCACGCAUGCUACAAUGGCUGGUACAGAGAGUGGCGAGCCUGUGAGGGUGAGCGAAUCUCGGAAAGCCGGUCUCAGUUCGGAUUGGGGUCUGCAACUCGACCUCAUGAAGUCGGAGUCGCUAGUAAUCGCAGAUCAGCAACGCUGCGGUGAAUACGUUCCCGGG
rnacentral:rRNA from 1 species